rnacentral:rRNA from 1 species
GCAGUCGAGGGGUAACGGGGUGCUUGCACCGCCGACGACCGGCGCACGGGUGCGUAACGCGUAUACAAUCUACCUUGUAGAGGGGAAUAGCCCAGAGAAAUUUGGAUUAAUGCCCCAUAGUAUUAUUAGAUAGCAUUAUUUGAUAAUUAAACAUUUAUGGCUACAGGAUGAGUAUGCGUUCUAUUAGUUAGUAGGUAAGGUAACGGCUUACCUAGACUUCGAUAGAUAGGGGUCCUGAGAGGGAGAUCCCCCACACUGGUACUGAGACACGGACCAGACUCCUACGGGAGGCAGCAGUGAGGAAUAUUGGACAAUGGGCGAGAGCCUGAUCCAGCCAUGCCGCGUGCAGGAAGACGGCCCUAUGGGUUGUAAACUGCUUUUAUAGAGGAAGAAACCUCCCGACGUGUCGGGACUUGACGGUACUCUACGAAUAAGGAUCGGCUAACUCCGUGCCAGCAGCCGCGGUAAUACGGAGGAUCCAAGCGUUAUCCGGAAUCAUUGGGUUUAAAGGGUCCGUAGGCGGGACAAUCAGUCAGCGGUGAAAGUCUGUGGCUCAACCAUAGAAUUGCCAUUGAUACUGUUGUUCUUGAAUACUUAUGAAGUGGUUGGAAUAUGUAGUGUAGCGGUGAAAUGCAUAGAUAUUACAUAGAACACCGAUUGCGAAGGCAGAUCACUAAUAAGUCAUUGACGCUGAUGGACGAAAGCGUAG